UACUUGGUAGUAAUAUAAUAAUUUCUAUACAUAUAAAUGAAAUAUAUAAAUAAAUAACAAAUAUAUAAUUAGUAAAAUAUUUAGAUAACGUAACUGUUUUAUUUAUUCAUUGUACACAUAUUACAGAACUACAGAAAAUCAAAUUGAUGUCAAUUUGGAAACGGAACCAACAAUAUCAAACACUUUAUCAGCAAACACUAUAUCGAAAAAUGCAGAAAUCUCGAAUAUAACUAUAAGUAAUAUUGAAAAUAACUCUUUAAAUCAAUUGCAGACAUUAUCAUAUAAUGGGCAAAAGAAAUAAGCAAUACGACAAGACCUUCAAAAAUUUGACACAAAACAAUGGAAAAACUUUUAAAUAAUAUUUAGGAAAAAAAUGCUAAAAAAUGAAAUACAUAUUAAAGUUGGUAUAGUUGUACAUGUGUUUCGCUCUGCCGCUCACAUUGUAAAAGCGCCAGAGUUGGCAUAGCCAAAACUUAUAUUAUCGAGAAAAUUCUAUGUAGCGCUGCGAGCCUCAGUCAGGUUAGUUUAGUUCAAGUUGAUCUCUCGCACGUGAAGCGCGGCUUACCUGUGUAUAACCUCACUUCAAAAUAAAUCUUUAUUUGCAUAA